UGGGAAGGGCGGCCGGUGCAGCCGCAGCUGCCAUCUUAGGGGCGCCUUGCGCUGCGGCUUUCUCGGUGGAGGCGGCCUUCCUGGCAGCGGUAGACGUCGGGAAAAGGCAGAAAGUCCGUUGGCCGACACCUUUCUUUCCUCCGGCCUCUGUAGGACCGCCAGCCCGCGUCCGAAGGCGGAGGCGAGGGGAACUGGCCGCGUGAGGGGCCUGAGGCCAGCGGUUAGAGCGUCGCCCGGAAGGAUGGGCCGGUCUCGGAGCCGGAGCUCGUCCCGCUCCAAGCACACUAAGAGCAGCAAGCACAACAAGAAGCGCAGCCGGUCCCGAUCGCGAUCCCGGGACAAGGAGCGCGUGCGGAAGCGUUCCAAAUCUCGGGAAAGUAAACGGAACCGGCGGCGGGAGUCGCGGUCCCGCUCGCGCUCCACCAACACGGCCGUGUCCCGGCGCGAGCGGGACCGGGAGCGCGCCUCGUCCCCGCCCGACCGCAUCGACAUCUUCGGGCGCACGGUGAGCAAGCGCAGCAGCCUGGACGAGAAGCAGAAGCGAGAGGAGGAGGAGAAGAAAGCGGAGUUCGAGCGGCAGCGAAAAAUUCGACAGCAGGAAAUAGAAGAAAAACUCAUCGAGGAAGAAACAGCACGAAGAGUGGAAGAAUUGGUGGCAAAAAGGGUGGAGGAAGAACUGGAGAAAAGGAAGGAUGAAAUUGAACGAGAAGUUCUCCGAAGGGUGGAGGAAGCCAAACGCAUCAUGGAAAAGCAGUUGCUCGAAGAACUCGAGCGACAGAGACAAGCUGAGCUUGCAGCACAAAAAGCUAGAGAGGUAACGCUCGGUCGUUUGGAAAGUAGAGACAGUCCAUGGCAAAACUUUCAGUGUUGGGUUCUGCCUCCUGCUCAGUUCAGAAAGAGAUGGAAUACAGACUAUCUAAUUCCUUUCUCGUCUAAACUUAACAUUGCUGCGAAAGUUAAUUUUUUAGCCUAUUCAGAAGUGCUGACUGAUAACUUAAAAGUUGGAAGCUUUCAUAAAACAUAUUCAAGGAUACUUUUUGAUUUAAUGGAACUGGCUAUUUGAGAAGUGUUUGAAACUUUUGCCAUGGCUGCAGGACUUACAUUCUUUUUUGGGAGGACGGUGGGGAGACAGGGAGUGGUAAAGGGAAAAGGUUAAAAAUCCACCUGUGGUUGUAUAUUCUUCUAUUCUAUCACUCUGUUACCUAGACUGUGAGAGGCUUUUGCCUUCAGUCAGAUUAAAAAGAGCAGGGCCUAACAUUGAGUGAUAGCACCUGCUUUGAUAAAUAGGUUUUCUCACUCUUCUUUUUUUCCUUCUUUUAUCCCUCACUCCCUCCCCUAAACCCUGCUUCAGCACAAUGGACUAAUUCUAGCAUUCCGAUCAUAAGGCCCUCCAUUUUCCUAAUGUGUUUCAAGGAAUCUUUUUAGGAAAAAUAUCCAGAUUAUUUAUCCACUUUUUUUAGUAUCUACUAACAACUCCUUUUUUUCUCUAGAGAGUUAUGAAGGAACAGGUUGUCCUUGUCUGGAGUCAAGCUAAACACAUGAUUUGUUUUAUCAGCAGCUGGAGCAGAAGUUGAAAAUGUCUUUCUGUGAGACAGUAAUUUGCUACUGAAGCUUUAUAGCUUGUUUGCACUGAUUACUCCAGGAUCCAAAAACUUGGUGAAAGUCACUGAAACGCUCAAGGCAAAUUACUUUACAGCCCUGAGUGUCUUAUCACCAUAGUUUGCAUACUGAAUAUCCAGUUGGUGUGUGACGUAGGAAAUCCUGUAGUUGUUUUCUUGAACUGAAAUAUUUGACUCAAAAUAAUUAAGACUCAUUGUCAUUUUUCAUCUUGGCAUUAUUGUGGACAAGUUGACAUAUUAAAUCUCUUUGCUUUCUGGUAAGCUUAGCUUUUAAAAUGCAUUUUCCCUUGUCCUGUCUUUAACUAGAUAUGCAUGCUUAUAUUUAUAGUGGGUUUCACAGACUAUAAAAUUGAAUGUAUGAAAUUUUUAUUUGUAUCAGUGCUUUUAAUAAUGAAGAUAUUUUUGGAGUAAUGGUGCUGUCUUGUAGCGAGUUAUUAAUCAUAGUAAGAUUUUUUUCUCUUCAUUUGCUUUUUUGUUUCAUAUUAACAAUUUUUUUUUACACGGACACAACUCUCUGACAGUCUUUCCAAAUAUUAAAAUCAUUUGAAUAUGUAUGCUGUGAUCUGAACACUGCCCAAGCCAUCAAGCAGUCUUCAUACAGUUUGCAUUAUAAAAUCUCAUUAAAUUCUCCAAGAAAAAAAUAAGUUGAAGAAUUUUAUUUCCUGACCAUGCAUCCCCUGGAUUUCUGAGUUUCAGUUCAGAUUGUAGAUGACAAUAUAAGCUGCCUUCCGAAAUUGUCAACAUCUGAAUGUUAAGUCCAUUUUCCCCAUGGAAGAAGCCCGUAGUUCCAUGAAGUAUGGAUUACCAUUUGUAUUUUUCACUAACAGUAAAUGUAUUUUUCUUAUUAAUUGUUUGCCUUAGGAAUGAUGAAUUACAUUUUUUGUUCCUUCUUACCAUAAACAUCUGCAUUCCUCAGCUCAGCCUUCCUUGUAUGUUGUUUCUUUAUAAAUGGUUGAGCUGCUGAUGCAGGUAUUGCCAAGCUAACAGUACAAAUCAUUUUAAAGAGGAAGCUGGCGCGUAUGGCAGCCGAGGAGCACACUCUGCAGGACACUGGACAAGACAGAGGAAGAACGUGCAAAACGUGAGGAGCUAGAGCGAAUACUGGAAGAGAAUAACCGAAAAAUUGCAGAAGCACAAGCCAAACUGGCCGAAGAACAGUUGAGAAUUGUUGAAGAACAAAGAAAGAUUCAUGAGGAAAGGAUG